CUGCAAGUCAUGCUGUAGGAGCAAUCGUCUUUAAACUCUCUGUAACUUUGCAGUUCAAGAGAGCUCAAAGGAAACCUCAUGCUGCUCUCCCAUGCUGAUGGAAAACAGGAAUGAAUAUUUAACUGGCAAUGAUGACGAAUGAAGAUUUCACAUUAGAGUGGGGUUCCUGGGACUAUCCUCCUCCUCAUCCUGCUGUGCUGCUCUCUCUCUGGGUCACCAUGAGAGAAG
rnacentral:lncRNA from 1 species